AUCUUGUGCUGGAGAUCCCUUCUUACUUGAGGCAUUCUGAAGCAGUCUGACCACAGGUCUGUUUGAUAUUUAUGGAGUACAACGCAGCUGCAUACCACAGAAAGGGAGAAAACAAAAGCCGCACUCACAAAAAUUGUGAAAACUAUCUGCCAUGUGGUACCUCAGGCUGAUGAGCACUGCGAGCAGUGAUGGCCUUGGAUCUCUUCCCCUGGGUCAGACCUUUCCUUGUGUUCAACAGGAAUGCUUUCACCGUGUGCAUGGUCUGUGCAUCAGACCCUUAGGUACAGGUAAAACAUUCAGAGGAAAAGGACUCCAGGGAGAAGGGCAUUUUAUUAAACCCUUCAGUUCUUCAGUCUGAGAAAAACAAUAACAACAAUAAAAACUUCGAUGUAAUAAGAAAUAGCUCAGUCUUUUGGAAAGAUUUACUGGGACAAUGUCACCUUCAGAAAGUUUGGUGUGUUACCUGUUGAAAUGGAUUCCAGCCGUUCUCUGUAUUUUUUUUUCUAAACUCUCCAAAACUCACCUGCCCAAGCGUGAAGUUAUGACCUGAACUGAGGAAAUAUAAAUAUGCUGUUAUAUUUUCCUAAGCUGCCAGUGAAAGUUUGUAAACGUAGUUUCCAGAUCACACCCUUGAACAGAGAACACUGUGUCCUGCUCAGAAAAAAAAAGAAAUAUGUUGCCUUCUCCCUAACAGAAAAUUUGGAAAGGGGCAUAGCUGGACUUACAGAAAAUGUUUUACUUCUUUUAACCAUAGUUCCUUUAAUUUUCAGUGUUAUAGGUUACCUCAGCUGCUACCUGACAGCUGUAAGUUCAGUAGGUAUGAAAGCCUUCUAACAGGUCAGUUGCGUGGUUUCUGGAAUAGCAGCAAGCUAGCAGGAAGGAAGGCGUGUGGGGUAGAGCAAACCACUGCCCUGCAGUUGGAUGGGCAGUAGGAUGGAGAGGACUGCCAGAAACUAUCAUGAAGGAUGAGGAGAAUUAGCAUGUGGCAUUUGUCACACACCACAGCAACUUAAUCCAUGGAUUUGUGUGACAAUUCAUUUUCACAUGGCUCUCCUUUGCUACCAAGUAAAGCUUUUUGCAUUAAGGUAUUUCAGAUAUGCUCAACAUCAGCUCAACUCAUUUUUUUUUUCUUUAUGGAUUCCGUUGGUACCAGGACAAGAUGAAGCACUUUCCUGCAACCUCAUAUACGCCCUGCUCCCCAGGUCCCUGUCAGAAUAGUUUUUAAAACCAGGAUCCUGCAGAGCAGAGACAGCCACUGCUGUCUGAGGAGAGGGUAUUUUUCAUGCUCCAGGAGCACUCCAGAAGAUGUUCAGCAAAGUUUAGGUAGGCACCACUUAAUAAUGCAGGUAUGCAGGAGAUUCAGCAUUGUUGGUUACAGUGGAAUGCAUUCCAGAAAGCAAACUUUAUAUCAGUGUAAACAGGGAUUUCUCCUGCUGUUGAGUCUUGCAGGGCAUGAUAAGGUCAUAAUACAUUCACCUUUCUUAGAUGAAAACUUUUGAUCCUAGAAUGCACAUAGAUAAAGCAGAGGGGCUUUACCUAGAUGCUCCUACGGCUGUAAUACAUGAGAACCUUGCCUGUGUUAGUCGGAAAUAAACAAGAGGAAAACAUUUACAGUGAGAAAGCGGCCAUCUCUGUUGAGGACCAGAAAACGAUGUCCUCGUUUGCACACUAGCAAUAAUUAAAUUGGAGCAUGAAAGUCUUGUUGGGAGGAUUUUACUUUUGUCUGUACUGUUCCAAGGGCAACAGAUCUCCAAGAAGGGGCAGCCUAAACUUUUCAAGGCAUUCUUCCUCACUACUAUUUCUCAACUGUUUCUCAGCUAACCACAAAAAUAAACAGUGCUUUGUGAAAGCUAUGUCACAAGAUUUUUUUUUCUCUGAUGAAAUGGUUUUCAGUGAAAUAAAGUAAUUCGUGACAGAAAUGCAGUAGUAAAAGGCACAUAUUUGGAAAUUAAGGCCUGAAAACCAUAAUUCCACUUUUUUUUUUUAAGCAGUAUUAGUUUUUUUUAUGAUGAAAAGAGAAUCACCAACUGUUUUCCAAACUAUAUCUGUUUUCUAAUAAUGAUGUAAAAGUGUUUGUAGGACUCCUUACCACUGACAUGAAAGCUGUCAGGGGAGAAAAAUGAUCUUGAAACCACAAAGUUACUUGUCUUAUCAGACAACACCACACAGAGCCUGUUCAAAUUUUCUACUGUGGAGAAUGAAGCCGACGGUUUCCGCAGCUGUAGAUAUUCUGAGCAAGAAGUGAAGAGUUAGGCCUAAAUCACAAAGGCAGCUGGAGACGAACCAUGGUUUUUGGUAGCAUUUGAAGAAGCAAGUGGCUCUGGUGCGUAACUCCCAUGACUUCAUUAGUUAUUUGAAACAUCUCCUGUGAAUGGAAUAUGCCAUUUAGAAGUCAGUGAUCCACUAAUUCUUCUGCUAUUGCCUUCCCGAAUUUGGCUCAAUUAGUUUGAAAUAUUGAAAAUGAGGUAUUCCAAUACUAAAUGUUUUCAGAAAACUGAACACUGUAACUGGAAGAAGACUGGGAGGAAGAAAUCAUUUUGAAUAUUGUCAGCAUCCUGUUUCACUCAUCAGCAGGGAGGCAAAGAAUGCAGACGUUGGAGACCAUGGCCAGAAAGAAGAGAGCAUCAUCUAGAGGACCAAGGCAAUGUGGUUUAUUUGUGAUGUGCCGCUGCUUCACUCCAUUUGGUAAACAUUGGAGCAGAGUUGGAAAAUAUGUG
ensembl:lncRNA